AUCACUAGCCCGUCUUCCCCUCUCGUUGUCGACGUCACUAUUUUGGUCCAGGCUCCCUAUCAUGCAGUCUCCAUCCCUGUCCUCGUCUCUUGCGUGGCAACCUCUCCUUCUUCUUCAUGCCCCAUCCUCUUCUCAAUCCCUCCCUAUAGCAUCUCUCAGCCCUAUGUCUCUUUUCCCCUUCAUCGGACCAGCCGGAGAUGGCGCUUGAAGGUUUCACGGGUUGAGAACAUCGCCAACGGAGCUGAGCCUAUGCCUCCUAAUGGCAAUCUGGGACCAUCAGCAGGAGUCGCUUCCAUUGGUGUUCCAUUCAACCUUGUGAAUCAUGAUGGAAAAUCAGUAACUAAGAAAGACUUUCUAGGGAAGUGGACAUUGAUCUACUUUGGGUUCACUCAUUGCCCUGAUAUUUGUCCUGAUGAACGUCAAAAUUUGCUAUUGCUGUUGACAAAUUGACCCUUUGUUCUGUUUCACUGGCUCUGUGGGAGUUUCUCUUUCUCUGUGAGAGCACCUGUUCGUCGUCUCUCUAAUUACUCGCAGCCCUUGCUUCCCGAUCGUCGUCCUCAUAAUAGACGUCUAGAUCCGUGAGGAUUUGCUCGCCGAUUGUUCUUUUUCUCACCAGCCGUGCUCCUCGAUCAUCAGGGUGUUCUCUGUUGGGUUGCUCAGUCUUCUUCAGGUGUUGAACUUGUCAAGGUGGAAGUGAGGUUAUUUGAGAAAUUAUUCCUCUCCCAGAAUCCUGUUGAGCUGGAGGACUGGUUGUCAGAUUUGAACCCACAUUCUAAGGAAGUGAUACAAAAUGCAUAUGUUGUACCUAUCCUAGGCAAUGCUAUAACAGGCGACAAGUUUCAAUUUGAAAGGCUUGGUCAUCUUUGAAACUUCAAGAAUUGUUGAUGUAGUCAAUGGUUUGCUAAGACACAUAACCGGUUAGGGACAUACAAUUGGAAGAAAUGAAUAAGAGUUGGAUGCAUAAGUCAAGGUUGAGCCAAGAAUAUGAACAUGGUGUGGAAGAAUUUCUUAAGUUUGCAUUCGAUAACGCAAGUCAAGAUGGUAUGAUUGUAUGCCCUUGCGUAAAAUGUGUGAAUAUUCAUUGGCGAACCCGUGAAGUAGUGCUUGAACAUUUAAUAUGUGAUGGAAUUCUACAAAGAUAUACAUGUUGGUUUUUCCAUGGAGAACAUGUUCCAUCUCCCACUGCUAAUACAACAACCACUUUCAGAGAUGCUUCAAUUUCUCAUAAUAUAACCUCUUAAGUUAGGAAAGAUGGCAUGGAUGAAUUGUUAAGGGAUGAUCUUAACAUGCAUCAAGUUGAUGAAGGGAAUUCGGAUCCUAAUAUCUGUGAAAUUGAUGUAGAAGUGAAUAUUGGGGAUGGAACUU